GGAAGUAAUACUGUAUUGGAGAAGAUACUACAUACUUCAGGCACAAAACUUGGAAGGAUUGAGCUGGACUUGAAAGUGACUUGGAAACCUCCCUGAGAAUUAGCUCUGUUACUGUCAGAAGAUACUAUGGAAGCUGCAAACAGAGGAAAGCAAUCAGUAGUCCCAUCCAGCUGUAAUAUCUGUGAACCACAACUAGCCUGGUGCUUCUACUUUGGGGCAGGAACAGCUGCUGGACAUCUGGAUAUCCUGUUGAUUCUAACUGUUCCCUGGGAUAAAGAAAAUUACCCACUGACCCCUGUCCUGGAGUCCAACUGUCCCACAAUACCAAACAUGGUCUGGAAUGCUACUGAUUAAGGCUGCUAUAACACAUUACCACACACUGGAUGGCUUA